GAGAGCUAUGGUGGAGUGUUUCAAGAGAGUACUUUCAGGUCCAAACUGUUGCAGAAGACCCUCGAUUUACCUCCACCAGCUGUCCUGCCAGAUACCACAACUCCAACUCCUCAAGUGCUCCCCCUAUAUGAGAACAGUGUGUGCCAUAAUCAAGGUGUCCAUGUCAAUAAACCUGAGUGUACCUGGUACUACCACUCUUGUCGGAGAGUCAGAGAAUGCAUUCGGCAUCAUGGCUGCAAGGAUGAGGAUUGUUGGACGCACAGACUCUGUUCAUUGUGUGCACUGAACCAGUAGUUUUAAUCUGGUUCAUUAAUAAAAUGAAACCUGA